GAUGAACGCUGGCGGCGUGCUUAACACAUGCAAGUCGAACGAUGAAGCCGGAGCUUGCUCCGGUGGAUUAGUGGCGAACGGGUGAGUAACACGUGAGCAAUCUGCCCUUGACUAUGGGAUAACUGCGGGAAACUGUAGCUAAUACCGGAGACGACACCUUGGGGCAUCCCAGGGGGUGGAAAGAAUUUCGGUCAAGGAUGAGCUCGCGGCCUAUCAGCUAGCUGGUGAGGUAAUGGAUCACCAAGGCGACGACGGGUAGCCGGCCUGAGAGGGGAACCGGCCACACUAGAGCGGAGACACGGUCCAGACUCCAACGGGAGUAGGCAGUUGGGCAUAUUGCACAAUGGGUGAAAGCCUGAUGCAAUAACGCCGCGUGGGGGGUGGAGGCCUUCGGGUUGUAAACCUCUUUUAGCAGGGAAGAAGCGAAAGUGACGGUACCUGCAGAAAAAGCACCGGCUAACUACGUGCCAGCAGCCGCGGUAA
rnacentral:rRNA from 1 species